GUCUACGGCCAUGCCACUGUGAACAAGCCCGAUCCAGUCUGAACCUGGAAGCUAAGUAGAGUCGGGCCUGGUUAGUACUUGGAUGGGAGACCACCUAGGAAGACCAGGUGCUAUAGGCG
ensembl:rRNA 5S_rRNA 5S ribosomal RNA